AGAUUGCAGCGGAGUGCCAGAGAGGAGUAGAUAUUUUUGUGAAAUUGGUCGCCAAGCUGGAAGAGGUAUGAACUACACAUAUUUUUGAAAAUCUAAAGGCUAUUUUUUUACAUUAACUUUUCCGCAUCACAAUUCUUUUCCAUUAUUGGACAUAUUGGGAAGUGUAGCAGCAGAAGGUAUGAGCAUGUUUUUAAAUGAGAAAAUAUAUUAAGACCAAUGUAAUCUUUUUUUUUGUUUAUUUAUUUAUUUUUUUUGUAUCAAUCAUAUUGACUGCAACGACUGGGAUAUAUAGCGGCAGCACAAGGUACCAGUUCUCUAAAAUGAAAUAUAUAUACAAGAUUAACAUUUUUUUAAUUGUCUUUUCUGGAUUAUUAAUAAUUACUACUACUGAAUGGCAUAUUGGGAAUUAUAGCGGUAUCAACAGGUACGAAGUUAGAUUUAGGAUUAAUAUAUAUUUUAUAAUUAAUUUUUCUGAUUAUAUCGUGUUUUCUAUUGAUUGUAACUUUAAAUCUAAUCUUUUUUAUUUCUUUUUUUUCUGAAUAAAAUGGAUGCAUGCAUUACUGGAAUUUAUAGGGGUAUUAACAGGUAAAAAUAUAUUUUUGAAUGAAAGAAGAUCUAUUUACAUUAUAAGUAUAUAAUUUUGGUUUUCUUUUUUUUUAUCAACGAUAUUUUCUACUGGUUAUAUUGGAAAUCAUAGAAAUAAAAGGUACGAACCCGUUUGAAAAAAUACAAAAUUAAAACUAAUAAUCUUUUUCUUUAUAAUUAUCGGAUGAACCAUUGAUUGAAUGCUAUAUUGGGAUUUACAGACACAUUAGAAGGUAUCAUAAGUCUAAAAUGAAAAAAAAAAACAUCAGAUUGACAUAUUAUUUUAAAUAUUUUUUUCGGAUCAAACAAACCCACGAUUGGAUGUUCUAUUGGGAAUUCCAGAUUUAGGAGGUAUCAUACCUUUAAAAUGAUAAAUACAGAUCAGACUAACUAUAUAUUUCUUUUAUUUUCUUUUUUCAUAAAUCGUAUUCUCCAUUGAAUGUAUUGAGAAUUAUAGAAACACAAGGUAUGAACGCAUUUUUAAAACGAAUUGGUAUUGAGGACUAAUAUUAUUUUUCUAAUUUUUUGUGGGUCUACCAUACUUGCUGUUGCAUAUAAAAUUCGGAUUCACAGAAGCAUUAGAAGGUGCGAACGUAUUUUUAAAAGCUUUUAAAUAAAAGAUUAUUAGAGACUAACUUGAUUUUUUAAAUCGUCUUUUCUGGAUCGAUCAUAUCUACCAUUAGGUGUUAUGGAGGAAUUCUAUACUCUGAUAAGUAUGAGUAUUUUAGCAAUAGUUACUAUUGAUCAUUUUCUUUUUAAUUUUAAAGGAAAUAUUCUUUACGAUAUAUGACAUUAUAUUAGUUUACUUUUUGCAGGUCUUAUUACGUAGAAAUUAUGACUGUCAACUCCAAAACUAAAGAUGACAUUUAAGUUGAUUUACAGCCUACAUAAUCCUUUAACAAGAAAAUUAUUUACAAAAAAAUUGUAUUGUUCAAUUCAGACCUUUGUAAAACUAAAAUAGAAAAAUUGCAUUUGUUUUUUUGUUUUACAUUUAUAUUACCUUCACAUAUGUAAAAAUUCAAUUAAUCUGAAUUCUAUUUGUGCUAUAUAAGACUGUAUUUUAAAGCAAUUUUUGUUGGCCAAAACAGGAUUUUUCUCUAUGAAUAAACCAAAGUAAGAAUUUAGAAUAUUGGAUCAAUCCUUCUCAUCAAGUGCACUAUAACUUACAUCGCUUUCCAAAGUAUUCUCACGUCGUUGAUCAAUAAGAAGAGAAGAAGGAAGGUCAUUUCAUCAAAAUUUUAAAAUCUUUUGAAAAUGUUUCCUAAAGAAGCUGCUGACUGAAAGGCUGCAAAGUAGGGUCCAAUUGUGAGUCUCCUGAAUACAUCGCUUUAAAAGAUAUCACACACCAAAUACACCCAAAGUAUUAUUUUUAUAAAAGACUAAAUAUUAUAAAGAAAAAUUAAAGUCUUUCUGUAAUUUUACUUGUUUUUUUUAAAUUUAUUAACACUAAAUCUACACCUUGAACGGUUUAAUAACUUUGUAAAAUUAACACAUUUUUGAACGGUACGAUGUCGCUACCAAACUUUAUGAAUUUUUAAAAAUAUAAAUG